rnacentral:rRNA from 1 species
UACAGAGGUCUCAAGCGUUGUUCGGAUUCAUUGGGCGUAAAGGGUGCGUAGGCGGCGCGGUAAGUCGGACGUGAAAUCCCUCGGCUUAACCGGGGAACUGCGUCCGAUACUGGAUGGCUUGAGUGUGGGAGAGGGAUGCGGAAUUCCAGGUGUAGCGGUGAAAUGCGUAGAUAUCUGGAGGAACACCGGUGGCGAAGGCGGCAUCCUGGACCACGACUGACGCUGAGGAGCGAAAGCCAGGGGAGCAAACGGG